rnacentral:rRNA from 1 species
UGGGGAAUAUUGGACAAUGGGCGAAAGCCUGAUCCAGCAAUACCGCGUGAGUGAUGAAGGUCUUCGGAUUGUAAAGCUCUUUUAGUAGGGAAGAUAAUGACGGUACCUACAGAAAAAGCACCGGCAAACUUCGUGCCAGCAGCCGCGGUAAUACGAAGGGUGCUAGCGUUGUUCGGAAUCACUGGGCGUAAAGGGUACGUAGGCGGUUUGGUAAGUCGAUUGUGAAAGCCCCAGGCUCAACUUGGGAACUGCAAUCGAAACUGCCUUACUUGAGUUUGGUAGGGGAUGGUGGAAUUCCUAGUGUAGGGGUGAAAUCCGUAGAGAUUAGGAAGAACACCAGUGGCGAAGGCGACCAUCUAUGCCAAUACUGACGCUGAGGUACGAAAGCGUGGGGAGCAAACAGGAUUAGAUACCCUGGUAGUCCACGCCCUAAACGAUGAAUGCUAGUUGUCGGGGCCUUAGGCUUCGGCGGCGAAGUUAACACGAUAAGCAUUCCGCCUGGGGAGUACGGUCGCAAGACUA